rnacentral:tmRNA from 1 species
ACCCUUGUGCGAGCCGCCCCGACAUCCUAUGUUCCGGCUGUCCGGGCAACCGGACUAUGGGCAUAAACGCGCGCGGAAUAAGCGGAUCGGACCCGGGGGCGGUACCCGGCGGCUCCACCAGAUGCCUCUCGUUGGGGGGACCAGGGGGCCGAAACAGGAUCGACGAACGUGUAAAGGCGUGGCUUUGUCCCGGUGAGCGACCACCGUUAUCGGUGCAAACUGCAUAGUUGCCAACGACAACCGUGCUCCGGCGAUGGCCCUCGCCGCCUGAUUCGGCGGUAGAGACCUGAGCCAAAGUCCUGGGGAUUAAGCCCCUCAGGCGGGGUUCGCAGGCACCUGGCAACAGAAGCCUGCACU